rnacentral:rRNA from 1 species
AGUUGGUGGAUUGAUUUGUCUGCUUUAUUGCGAUAACGAACGAGACCUUAACCUGCUAAAUAGCAGUAUGAACAUUCGUGUUGGUACUUGCUUCUUAGAGGGACUGACUGCAAAAAGCAGUUGGAAGUUUGAGGCAAUAACAGG